CACACGUGGCUCAUGCCAUUUUGUUUCUCUGCUGUUCGUGAUGUGAGGUGUUGUCUAGAGACCUAUGUUACUGACCAAGCUCAAAGAUGUUUGUCCAUACUUCUACUUUAGCUAAAAAAGUUUGCAAGGAUGGAAGACGUACUUUCACACAACAGAAUGGGCAUUUGGAGAUCGACAAAGAGCCACUGAACAUUUGCAGUUCCUGUUGGGUGGAAUCACAAGUUCUGGUAGAUGUUGUUCCUCUGAUAAAUAAUAGAGUCUGAAGUUGCAAUUUCUGAUGGGCUUAAUAGCAAUUUCUAGCUGGUGUCGUCUCUGAUGUAUUUAAUAAAGGUGCUGACUGACACAGGGUGUUCCCAUGGUGAUAGUCUAAAGAAUGCAGAAAUAGGUCGAUUGGAGCAUCCUUCUUGAAGCACAGUCUUGCUUGCAGAGUAGUCUUGAGCAAUGCCAUCUUCUUUGAUGUGUAAUUCCAAGUGGUUGCCGUCAUCUAAUGCUGAAAAGGUGCUUAAUCAUGAAUGACUUCCAUUGAGCUCCGAUCAUUCACAUGAAUUUGAGAAUGGCGAUAAGAGUUUUACAUUAGCAACAUCAAACAACCGGGAUCAUCUUAGAGAAAUUAUGAAUGGCGAUAAGAGUUUUACAUUAGCAACAUCAAACAACCGGGAUCAUCUUGGAGAAAUUAUGAAUGCAUUAGCAACAUCAAACAACCGGGAUCAUCUUAGAGAAAUUAUUAAUGAUGGGAAGAGUGUUCUUUGAAACCACAAAAGCACUCCAGAAUCAUUGCAAGGAGUGAUGAGUAUAGUGCACAUCAGAGUCGCAAACGUUGUGGAGACAUUGCAAGAUCUUGUGAACAGAUUCACCAAGAGCUGUUUCCUGGGAGUACAAGAUUGCCGAGUCAAGUGAUCGAGUUUUUAACUGAUGAAAGCAUUAUGGUCAAGGACUGUACUUGUGGAACAAACUGGGCUGUGUUUCAGGGGCAUCAACAAAAAUGCCGAGGAUCUUUAAUAUCAGAUGUUGAAAAGUUGUUGCUGUCUCCAGAGCAGAAGGGUUGUUGCCAUCUCCAACGGAGAUUGUGUCAAAGACAUCGGCUGGCUGAAAAUGGAUCAGUGAGAUCAACUUGAUAUUUCAGGUUUCUGGUGGAAAGCAGGAUGAUUGUUUGCCAUUGCCAGAAUUUAAGG